GACGAACGCUGGCGGUGUGCUUAACGCAUGCAAGUCGAACGGUAAGGCCCUUUCGGGGGUACACGAGUGGCGAACGGGUGAGUAACACGUGAGUAACCUGCCCUCAUCUCUGGGAUAACAGUCGGAAACGGUUGCUAAUACUGGAUAUGAGCUUGCAAGGCAUCUUGUGGGUUGGAAAGAUUUUUUUGGUUGGGGAUGGACUCGCGGCCUAUCAGCUUGUUGGUGAGGUAGUGGCUCACCAAGGCUUCGACGGGUAGCCGGCCUGAGAGGGCGACCGGCCACAUUGGGACUGAGAUACGGCCCAAACUCCUACGGGAGGCAGCAGUGGGGAAUAUUGCACAAUGGACGGAAGUCUGAUGCAGCAACGCCGCGUGCGGGAUGACGGCCUUCGGGUUGUAAACCGCUUUCAAUUGUGACGAAGCUUUUUGUGACGGUAGCAGUAGAAGAAGCACCGGCUAACUACGUG
rnacentral:rRNA from 1 species